CGGGGCGUAGCGCAGCCCGGGAGCGCACCUGCAUGGGGUGCAGGGGGUCGGCGGUUCAAAUCCGCCCGCCCCGACCA
rnacentral:tRNA from 1 species